GGAAACGUGCCUGAACAAAGGGCCACUUUGAUAGAGUGGACCAUGAGGACUAAGACCCCUCCGCUUCCU
rnacentral:tRNA from 1 species